rnacentral:rRNA from 1 species
GAAUUGACGGGGGCCCGCACAAGCGGAGGAACAUGUGGUUUAAUUCGAUGAUACGCGAGGAACCUUACCCGGGCUUGAAGUGCAUCUGACAGGCAAAGAGACUUGCCUUUUCUUCGGAACAGAUGUGUAGGUGCUGCAUGGUUGUCGUCAGCUCGUGCCGUGAGGUGUCGGCUUAAGUGCCAUAACGAGCGCAACCCUCAUCGUCAGUUACCAUCAGGUAAAGCUGGGGACUCUGGCGAGACUGCCAUCGUAAGAUGCGAGGAAGGUGGGGAUGACGUCAAAUCAGCACGGCCCUUACGGCCAGGGCUACACACGUGCUACAAUGGUCGGUACAGAGGGUUGCCAAGCCGCGAGGCGGAGCUAAUCCCAGAAAACCGAUCGUAGUCCGGAUCGCAGUCUGCAACUCGACUGCGUGAAGUCGGAAUCGCUAGUAAUCGCGAAUCAGAAUGUCGCGGUGAAUACGUUCCCGGGCCUUGUACACACCG